rnacentral:misc_RNA from 1 species
CGGCCUGUUGUGAUGGAAAUUUGAGUGUGCACGUGCUUCAAGAUCAUCUGCACUGUCUGUAUGAAUGAAUGAUGAAUAAAUCUAUGGGAUUUUGAUGAUCAGGCUCUUCACAUAAGGGAAACCCCUCUGUCAGACCCCAAAAUCUCUGCAACUCUCUCACUUUGCUUCUUUGUCUUUCUCUUUUGAUGGGUUUUGAGUGCGAGUUAU